GCUCGCGGCAGGCCUAACACAUGCAAGCCGAGGGGUUAAUUACCGAUGCUUGCAUCGGAAACGACCGGCGCACGGGUGAGUAACGCGUAUGCAACCUGCCCUUAACUGGGGGAUAGCCCGAAGAAAUUCGGAUUAAUACCCCAUAAUAUCAUGAUUUCGCAUGUUUUUAUGAUUAAAGCUCAGGCGGUUAAGGAUGGGCAUGCGUGGCAUUAGCUUGUUGGUGAGGUAACGGCUCACCAAAGCAACGAUGCCUAGGGGGUCUUAAAGGAUGGUCCCCCACACUGGUACUGAGACACGGACCAGACUUCUACGGAAGGCAGCAGUGAGGAAUAUUGGUCAAUGGGUGCAAGCCUGAACCAGCCAUGCCGCGUGCAGGAUGACGGCCCUAUGGGUUGUAAACUGCUUUUGUACGGGAAGAACCCCCCCGACGUGUCGGGGACUGACGGUACCGUACGAAUAAGGAUCGGCUAACUCCGUGCCAGCAGCCGCGGUAAUACGGAGGAUCCUAGUG
rnacentral:rRNA from 1 species